rnacentral:rRNA from 1 species
AACGAACGCUGGCGGCAUGCCUAACACAUGCAAGUCGAACGAGACCUUCGGGUCUAGUGGCGCACGGGUGCGUAACGCGUGGGAACCUGCCCUUAGGUUCGGAAUAACUCCCCGAAAGGGAUGCUAAUACCGGAUAAUGUCUUCGGACCAAAGAUUUAUCGCCUUUGGAUGGGCCCGCGUUGGAUUAGCUAGUUGGUAGGGUAAAAGCCUACCAAGGCGACGAUCCAUAGCUGGUCUGAGAGGAUGAUCAGCCACACUGGGACUGAGACACGGCCCAGACUCCUACGGGAGGCAGCAGUGGGGAAUAUUGGACAAUGGGCGAAGGCCUGAUCCAGCAAUGCCGCGUGAGUGAUGAAGGCCUUAGGGUUGUAAAGCUCUUUUACCCGGGAUGAUAAUGACAGUACCGGGAGAAUAAGCGCCGGCUAACUCCGUG